rnacentral:rRNA from 1 species
UUUCCUACGGGGGGCAGCAGUGAGGAAUAUUGGUCAAUGGGCUUACGCCUGAACCAGCCAAGUCGCGUGAGGGAAGACUGCCCUAUGGGUUGUAAACCUCUUUUGUCAGGGAGCAAUUGGCGCUACGUGUAGCGUUAUCGAGAGUACCUGAAGAAAAAGCAUCGGCUAACUCCGUGCCAGCAGCCGCGGUAAUACGGAGGAUGCGAGCGUUAUCCGGAUUUAUUGGGUUUAAAGGGUGCGUAGGCGGACUGUUAAGUCAGCGGUAAAAGCCCGGGGCUCAACCCCGGCGAGCCGUUGAAACUGGC